CGCGUAGGCGGCUUAGCAAGUCGAUUGUUUAAUCCCUCGGCUUAACUGAGGUUCAGUGGUCGAUACUACUAAGCUUGAGUACGGGAGAGGAGAGUGGAAUUCCAUGUGUAGCGGUGAAAUGCGCAGAUAUAUGGAGGAACACCUGUGGCGAAGGCGGCUCUCUGGACCGCUACUGACGCUGAGGCGCGAAAGCGUGGGGAGCAAACG
rnacentral:rRNA from 1 species